rnacentral:rRNA from 1 species
ACAAGCGAAAAGCUUAAAACUCAAAAGACUUGACGGUGUUCCAUACCGACCUAGAGGAGCCUGUCCUAUAAUCGACACCCCACGAUAAACCUCACCCCCACUUGAAAAAACAACCUAUAUACCGCCGUCGUCAGCCUGCCCCGCAAAAGAAAAAUAGCAGACAAAAUAGUACUACAACCUCACUAAAACGUCAGGUCAAGGUGUAGCCAAUGCGGGGGAAAGAGAUGGGCUACAUUCUCUAACACUAGAGCACCACCACAAGCAACAUGAAACAUGCGCCCGAAGCUGGAUUUAGCAGUAAAAGCGGCAAGAAAGCCCCAUUGAAGCCCGCCCUGGAACGCGUACACACCGCCC